GAUGAACGCUAGCGGCAGGCUUAACACAUGCAAGUCGAGGGGUAUAGUUCUUCGGAACUAGAGACCGGCGCACGGGUGCGUAACGCGUAUGCAAUCUACCUUUUACAGGGGAAUAGCCCAGAGAAAUUUGGAUUAAUGCCCCAUAGUAUAGUUUUUUCGCAUGAAGAGAUUAUUAAAGUUCCAACGGUAAAAGAUGAGCAUGCGUCCCAUUAGCUAGAUGGUAAGGUAACGGCUUACCAUGGCGACGAUGGGUAGGGGUCCUGAGAGGGAGAUCCCCCACACUGGUACUGAGACACGGACCAGACUCCUACGGGAGGCAGCAGUGAGGAAUAUUGGUCAAUGGACGCAAGUCUGAACCAGCCAUGCCGCGUGCAGGAUGACGGUCCUAUGGAUUGUAAACUGCUUUUGUACGAGAAGAAACAUCCCGACGUGUCGGGACUUGACGGUAUCGUAAGAAUAAGGAUCGGCUAACUCGGUGCCAGCAGCCGCGGUAAUACGGAGGAUCCAAGCGUUAUCCGGAAUCAUUGGGUUUAAAGGGUCCGUAGGCGGUCAGAUAAGUCAGUGGUGAAAGCCCAUCGCUCAACGGUGGAACGGCCAUUGAUACUGUUUGACUUGAAUUAUUAGGAAGUAACUAGAAUAUGUAGUGUAGCGGUGAAAUGCUUAGAGAUUACAUGGAAUACCAAUUGCGAAGGCAGGUUACUACUAAUGGAUUGACGCUGAUGGACGAAAGCGUGGGUAGCGAACAGGAUUAGAUACCCUGGUGGUCCACGCCGUAAACGAUGGAUACUAGCUGUUGGAAGCAAUUUCAGUGGCU
rnacentral:rRNA from 1 species